UACAUUUUGUAAUAAUUUAAUUUUGGAUGUAACGCGUCUUCUGAUUGGCUGACGUUAUUUUGUUAUGAGCCCAUAGACAUUAUUUAGUCAGGUGACCGUGACGUCAUCAACGUUUUUUCAUGGUUUUCUACGGUUUAAAAUGGAAUUUAAAAUUAAAUUAUAAGAAAUGACUGUAAUAUUUUUUCUGUCUAUUCGAAAUAACAUAAAACAUGUGUUGCACACUGUUAGAUAACC
rnacentral:lncRNA from 1 species